rnacentral:antisense_RNA from 1 species
AUCAAUGGUGGCUCAGGUCGGGCAGCUUUAGAGCUGGCCGAGAAACAGUAAGCCCCGGUUGUGAGAACCCGAUUUGGGCCACCGCCAUU